rnacentral:rRNA from 1 species
ACAGAUCGUCAGAGUUUGAUCCUGGCUCAGGAUGAACGCUGGCGGCGUGCCUAACACAUGCAAGUCGAACGAAGCAUGCCCCUUCGGGGGUAUGACUGAGUGGCGGACGGGUGAGUAACGCGUGGGUAACCUGCCCUCUACAGGGGGACAACAGUUAGAAAUGACUGCUAAUACCGCAUGAGCGCACAGGGAGGCAUCUUCCCGUGUGAAAAACUAUCGGUGGUAGAGGAUGGGCCCGCGUCUGAUUAGCUAGUUGGCGGGGUAAGGGCCCACCAAGGCGACGAUCAGUAGCCGGUCUGAGAGGAUGAACGGCCACAUUGGAACUGAGACACGGUCCAA